CGCGUAGGCGGAACGAUAAGUCAGAUGUGAAAUUCCGAAGCUCAACUUCGGAGCUGCAUUUGAAACUAUCGAUCUAGAGGGUUGACGGAGAAAACGGAAUUCCACGUGUAGCGGUGAAAUGCGUAGAUAUGUGGAAGAACACCUGUGGCGAAAGCGGUUUUCUAGUUUAUACCUGACGCUGAGGCGCGAGAGCAAGGGGAGCAAAACA
rnacentral:rRNA from 1 species